CAGUCGCCGCGGGAAUACGGAGGGGGCUAGCGUUGUUCGGAAUUACUGGGCGUAAAGCGCACGUAGGCGGCUUUGUAAGUUAGAGGUGAAAGCCUGGUGCUCAACACCAGAACUGCCUUUAAGACUGCAUCGCUUGAAUCAUGGAGAGGAGGGUGGAAUUCCGAGUGUAGAGGUGAAAUUCGUAGAUAUUCGGAAGAACACCAGUGGCGAAGGCGGCCCGCUGGACAUGUAUUGACGCUGAGGUGCGAAAGCGUGGGGAGCAAACAGGAUUAGAUACCCCAGUAGUCCCUGUCUCUUAUAC
rnacentral:rRNA from 1 species